UGGGGAAUAUUGCACAAUGGGCGAAAGCCUGAUGCAGCAACGCCGCGUGAGUGAUGAAGGCCUUCGGGUUGUAAAGCUCUGUCUUUUGGGACGAUAAUGACGGUACCAAAGGAGGAAGCCACGGCUAACUACGUGCCAGCAGCCGCGGUAAUACGUAGGUGGCAAGCGUUGUCCGGAUUUACUGGGCGUAAAGGAUGCGUAGGCGGAUUUUUAAGUGAGAUGUGAAAUACCCGGGCUUAACUUGGGUGCUGCAUUUCAAACUGGGAGUCUAGAGUGCGGGAGAGGAGAAUGGAAUUCCUAGUGUAGCGGUGAAAUGCGUAGAGAUUAGGAAGAACACCAGUGGCGAAGGCGAUUCUCUGGACCGUAACUGACGCUGAGGCAUGAAAGCGUGGGUAGCAAACAGGAUUAGAUACCCUGGUAGUCCACGCCGUAAACGAUGAGUACUAGGUGUAGGAGGUAUCGACCCCUUCUGUGCCGCAGUUAACACAAUAAGUACUCCGCCUGGGAAGUACGAUCGCAAGAUUAAAACUCAAAUGAAUUGAC
rnacentral:rRNA from 1 species